UUAUUGGGUCUUUUAUCUACUUCCAGUGUCAACAAUGAUAGUUCAUAGCCCAUUUCCCAGGGUCUUUCUCGCCACCCAAAAAAGAAUGAAAUCUGGAUGUUGAUAAGGCUUGGGACCUGAUUAUGGUAAUGGCUCUUUAUAGAAAGGCCAAUCACAGUUAGGAGAGAAAUGUAAACUGGGGAGAAAACCUUGGUAUUUGCUCUCCAAUCCCUACACCUGUGUAUGUAGAAUGUGCAUUUAAAAAGCACCUAAAAUUGAUCUAACAAUGCUAUAGAUAAUAUUUUGAUUCUAAAAUGGUAUUUUGGUUUGAAUAUACAAAUCAUUUUCUCAUGAAAAUCACAGUCCUUCCUUAACAAAUAUUUUACCAGUUUUAACAAGCAGCAAUUAUGAUAAUCGACCAAAAGAUUUCCCUCAGGGAAAAGAAAAUCCCAUGGUCCAAAGGACGUCUACAAUUUCUUCUGCUGCACUUGGACUCUUCAUGUCUUGUGAUAUUUCUCCACAUUAAGUCCAUGAAUAUGCUCAAUGCUGAAGAGAUCUGCGAUUUGGGACACAAAUCUCCUAAGCACAAAACCUGCACCUCUGAGUCUGGGAAGAAAAUGGUAGCACUACAACAUAGGACCUUAGAUGAAAUGGACAAACUCAUAGAAGAUCAAGAAAAUCUGAGUAGACUAUUUAACAGAAUAUGA
rnacentral:lncRNA from 1 species